UACGUAGGAGACGAGCGUUGUCCGGAAUUACUGGGCGUAAAGCGCGUGUAGGCGGCUUUGCAAGUCGGGUGUGAAAGCCCUCAGCUCAACUGAGGAAGUGCACCCGAAACUGGCGAGCUUGAGUACGAAAGAGGAUCGCGGAAUUCCCGGUGUAGAGGUGAAAUUCGUAGAUAUCGGGAGGAACACCGGUGGCGAAGGCGGCGAUCUGGGUCGAUACUGACGCUGAGGUGCGAAAGCGUGGGGAGCAAACAGGG
rnacentral:rRNA from 1 species